rnacentral:lncRNA from 1 species
AUGGGGAGGAGCAGGGAUAUCUUUGGCUGUGAUCCAGCUUAUUAUGGAGAGGAGCAGGGAGGAUAUGUGUGUGCUGUGAUCCAGCUUAUUAUGGAGAGGAGCAGGGAGGAUAUCUGUACGCGCUGUGAUCCAGCUUAUUAUGGAGAGGAGCAGGGAGGAUAUCUGUACGUGCUGUCAUCCUCUUAUUGCUGUGCUGUCAUGGAGAGAGCAGAGAUGAAGCUACGGAACACCUCUGUGAAAGACCCACACUGUAUUUCUCUGUUUCUUCAUCUCUAUCCUCCGCUCCGAUGGCUGGACCGUACUAACUCUCUCUUUCUCCUUUCUCCCUUCACCCUGCCCUCUCAUCCCUCUCUUUCUCUCUCAUCCUCCACCUAUCCCCUUCACCCUGCCUCCCAUCCCCUCCUCCUCGCCCCUUCACCCUGCCGUCUCCAUCCCUAUCUUUCUCCUUUCCUCCCUCUCUCCUCGUCCCUCAGCCUGCCUCGUCCAUUCCCUUCGCGUUGCCCCUUUUCUCUUCUCCCCUCUCUCCUCAUCCCUUCACCCUGCCUCUCCAUCCCUCUUUUCUCCUUCAUCCCUCUCCCUCCGUCCCCUUCAGCCGGCCUCUCCAUCCCUCUUUCGCCUUCAUCCCUCUCUCCUCGGCCCCUUCACCGGCCUCUCCAGCCCUCUCUCCUCGUCCUUCACCCUGCCUCGCCAUCCUUCUCCGCGUCCCUUUCACCCUGCCUCUCCAUCCCCGUCUCCUCUCCCUUCACCCUGCCUCUCAUCCUACUUCUCCGUCUCCCCUCUUCCCCUCGUCCCCUUCACCCUGCCUCUCCAUCCCUCUCUUUCUCCUUUCAUCAUCCCCUCUCCUCGUCCCCUUCACCCUGCAUCNGAAUUGUGAUUACCGUGAAUUAUAAGUGGAAAUAAAUCUGUCUGUAAACAAUCGUUGGAAAAAUUACUUGUGUCAUUGUUCAAAGUAUAUGUCCUAACUGAUACCAAAAAACUGUUUGUUAACAAGAAAUUUGUGGAGUGGUUGAAUAAACGAGUUUUAAUGACUCCAACCUAAGUGAUGUAACUUCUGACUUCAACUGUAUAUAUACACACACAACACACACACACACAACCACAACACACACACACACACACACACUCUCUCUCUCUCUCUCUCCGGCAUUCAGGCACCUCUCUGGCUUGUACCUAAUCGUUUAACAGACAUUAAUAAACAAAAAUAACUCAAUAUCUACACUACACUCUCUCCCUUCCUUCCUUCCUUUCCUCUUUCCCUGCUUCUCUCCCAAGCUUCGCUCCAGCAUUUUUAACUUCUGAUUAAAUUCCUCUGGAAGGGAAUUUGACGUCUCUGUUUCACAUAUCGGCUCAUACAAUCUUUGAAUUUCUGGUUGUCUCUCUUUCUGGCAUGGCAAGUGUGAGUGAGAGGGCUGUGUGUGUGUUGUGUGUGUACUCUCUCUGGCAUGGUCUAAGUGUGAGUGAGAGAGGCUGUGUGUGUGUACUCUCUCUGCAUGGUAAGUGUGAGAGUGAGAGAGGCUGUGUGUGUCGUGUACUC